rnacentral:rRNA from 1 species
GAUGAACGCUGGCGGCGUGCCUAAUACAUGCAAGUCGAGCGAAUGGAUUAAGGGCUUGCUCUUACGAAGUUAGCGGCGGACGGGUGAGUAACACGUGGGUAACCUGCCCAUAAGACUGGGAUAACUCCGGGAAACCGGGGCUAAUACCGGAUAACAUUUUGAACCGCAUGGUUCGAAAUUGAAAGGCGGCUUCGGCUGUCACUUAUGGAUGGACCCGCGUCGCAUUAGCUAGUUGGUGAGGUAACGGCUCACCAAGGCAACGAUGCGUAGCCGACCUGAGAGGGUGGUCGGGCACACUGGGACUGAGACACGGCCCAGACUCCUACGGGAGGCAGCAGUAGGGAAUCUUCCGCAAUGGACGAAAGUCUGACGGAGCAACGCCGCGUGAGUGAUGAAGGCUUUCGGGUCGUAAAACUCUGUUGUUAGGGAAGAACAAGUGCUAGUUGAAUAAGCUGGCACCUUGACGGUACCUAACCAGAAAGCCACGGCUAACUACGUGCCAGCCGCCGCGGUAA